rnacentral:rRNA from 1 species
GACGAACGCUGGCGGCGUGCUUAACACAUGCAAGUCGAACGGAAACGCCCUGCCUUUGUGGGGUGCUCGAGUUGCGAACGGGUGAGUAACACGUGAGUAACCUGUCCUUGACUUUGGGAUAACUUCAUAAAACUGGGGCUAAUACCGGCUAGGAGCUCCUGCUGCUUGGUGGGGGCUGGAAAGUUUCGGCGGUUGGGGAUGUAAUCGCGGCUUAUCAGCUUGUUGGUGGGGUAGUGGCUUACCAAGGCUUGGACGGGUAGCCGGCCUGAGAGGGUGACCGGACACAUUGGGACUGAGAUACGGCCCAGACCCCUACGGGAGGCAGCAGUGGGGAAUAUUGUACUAUGGGCGGAACCCUGAUGCAGCAACGCCGCGUGCGGGAUGACGGCCAUCGGGUUGUAAAGCGAUUUCGCCUGUGACGAAGCGUGAGUGACGGUAAUGGGUGAAGAAGCACCGGCUAACUACGUG